CCUUGACAUACUAAGAACUUUCCAGAGAUGGAUUGGUGCCUUCGGGAACUUAGAUACAGGUGCUGCAUGGCUGUCGUCAGCUCGUGUCGUGAGAUGUUGGGUUAAGUCCCGCAACGAGCGCAACCCUUUUCCUUAUUUGCCAGCGGGUCAUGCCGGGAACUUUAAGGAUACUGCCAGUGACAAACUGGAGGAAGGCGGGGACGACGUCAAGUCAUCAUGGCCCUUACGGCCAGGGCUACACACGUGCUACAAUGGUCGGUACAAAGGGUUGCUACCUCGCGAGAGGAUGCUAAUCUCAAAAAGCCGAUCGUAGUCCGGAUCGCAGUCUGCAACUCGACUGCGUGAAGUCGGAAUCGCUAGUAAUCGCGGAUCAGAAUGCCGCGGUGAAUACGUUCCCGGGCCUUGUACACACCGCCCGUCACACCAUGGGAGUUUGUUGCACCAGAAGUAGGUAGUCUAACCGCAAGGAGGACGCUUACCACGGCGUGGCCGAUGACUGGGGUGAAGUCGUAACAAGGUAAGCGUAGAUGA
rnacentral:rRNA from 1 species